CAGAUGGGUUGUGUUCAUAAGCAGUAACAGGUUGUGCGAGUGGACAAGGUGGUGGUCUAGGUGGGCUGUUUUCAUCUGGAGCAAUUGGUGUUCGCCAGGCAGGUCUUGGUGGAAGUCUAGGCGAUGGUUUAGGUUUGCGAGGUCAAAUUUCAGAUUGAUUGUUUUCAUCCAGAGUAACAGAUGAUCCAGGUAGUGAUCCAGGGUGGCAGGGUGCUAUUCCAGGUGAGUUGUUUUUAGCUGGAGUAAACCGUAAUGGCAGGGGGUGUCCUGAAGGUGGUCCAGGUGGUGGGGUAGGUUGGUAAUUUGGUGUCCAGGUGGUUUUCAUCCAGGAAAAUAGGUGGCUGUACUGGUGUCUGGUAUUAUUGGUCUGGGUGGCUAAUUGGGAUAUGAAAUAGAAUGUGGUCCAAAUGGUGGCCCAGCCUGAAAAGUGAUAAAGUAUUAUCCCACUUGGUUUU